CAGGAAAUAGUUUAUAAAAAUAUGAAUUUUGGGGAUUUAAGAUGAGGUUUACUUCUUUCCUGA
rnacentral:tRNA from 1 species